rnacentral:rRNA from 6 species
UGACCUCGGAUCAGGUAGGCAUACCCGCUGAACUUAAGCAUAU